CUAAUCAUCAUUGUAAUGGCAACUUUAGCUGUCAGGGAUACUGUUGCAGCUCUGCUUCAGCCAGUCUGUGCACAGAGCAUGGAGCACCAGGGCCAUGGAGCAUGUGGGCUAUGGAAUCGGGUUGCCUGUUUUCAUCUUGACUCCAUCACUUGCUGGGCAACCUUGAGUAGCGGACUCAAACCUUUCAAAUAUUUUGAGUGGUUGGAAAAAAGAAACACAAAACAAUUCUAUUUUCUGAGUUUUAAAAAUGUCCGAACCCCUGGAAGACCCAGCCAGACCAAAUCCACUUUUUCUCCUGGAUCCAUAAUGUACAGUGGCAAAUUAAAGGCUUUGAGAACCUCUGUA
rnacentral:lncRNA from 1 species